AGAGGGUCUUAAGAGUUAUUAUUUCUUUUUUCCGUAACACCACAUCCCGACCAACCAGCAUGAAGAAGAAAUAUAUAUAACCCCAAAAAGUUCAAGUAAGAGUCUCUUUAUACCUUUCUUCAGCCUCACAUAGAUAUAAGUUUAACUUCCAUCAAUUGCAUGUUCGGCUGCUACACAUCAUAUUCAAUGUUCCUUUUUUGUACACACGUGCUUGACAGCCCACGUGUAGAAGGAUUUGCUUUCGAAGCAUAUUAAGGUUUAAUAAUAUAACGACAUAGAUUGCAUUCUUUCGUGCUUUUUGAUCUCCCAAAUGUAAAGAACAAAUAAUUCAAGUACUUUGGAGUUGAAUAAUUUGAUGAAAAAGAUGGAAACAUUUGUUGUUUCUGCAAUGGUUUUUUUUGGUCAACAACCAAUAAUUACAAAAUAAAUGGCGAAGAAAGUUCUCCUGAUAUGCCUAAAUUGUUGACCUUAAUGGUAGAAUUAUUAAUAGAUGUCAGUGUUUUGGGAAGCGAGAAGCGGAAAAAAGCGACGAGGGCUUGCUUCACAGAAGUGAGAAGCGUGAAGCGAAACGCGCACUUUUUUUAAAAAAAGCAACAUUUAGUAUGAAAAUAAAAAAAUAUUAAAUAACUAAAUAAAGGUAAUAUAGUCUUAGAUUGAAAGAAAUUACAUAGGCAAAAAUACUCAUAAGUCAUAACAUAUAAAGCAAAAAAAUCAAAAACAUAACUAAAUCACAAAGAUUCAAACUCCUAUUCUUCAACAAGGCUGCUAGACUAAUCACAAAAUUAAAAACAACAACAAAAGAAUUGAAAAAAAAACACAAAAGAGGCAGCAGUUAGUAAUUAGAAACAGAGCAGGCAACAGAGAUGAAGAAAAGAAGAGAAGAAGAAAAAACUAGAGUAGUCGAAACUCAGAGAGAUGAAGAGAUGAAGCACAGGCGAAGAUUGUAUAUUUUAGGAGAUAAGAAACUCAUAGAGAUGAACUAAUAAACAUUAGCUAAAAAAGAGAUGAACAAAAAGUUACCUGCAGUCGCGGUCGAGGUUGAAGAGAGAGGCAGCCUCAGUCGAGAUCGUCAGGAGAGAAAGAAGGGAAAGAAGUAUUGUGAAAGAAGAGCCGCGAGGAGAGAAAGAAGGGAAAGAGUCGUGAAAGAAGAGUCGUGAGGAGAGAGAAGGUUAUAUUUCAGAUUAUUUUUUUAAAAAAAAAACCUAUUUUUUUUAAAACCCUAAUUGUCGCUUUUUUUUUUUUUAUAAAAAGCACGCUUUAUUGCGCUUUUGCCUUAGGGUCGCUUCUCGCUUCUUCAUCUGAAGCGAGAGCUUUUUUCAGAUCGCCUCGCCUCAAGAUAAAAAAGCGCACAAGGGCCGCCUCGCUUUGAAGCGCACUUUAAGCUCGCUUUUCACAACACUGGUAGAUGUUAUUUUGUUAAGUUUAGGAUCUUUCAUUGUCUUGAUCAGACUGUCUUAUGCAACUACUCUGAUGUGUUUUCUUUAAAAUGUUUAAAUAUCAGCAAACGUAAGACUGACCCACGGAUUUAUUUUGUGGUCUAAAUACAUGAGUUUUCUCCUCAAGUUAAAGGCAAAUCACUUGAGCUUUCUUUUUGCUGGAUGUCCGUUAUCUUACCCUGUUGCACAUGAUGCCUUAUUGGAUGUCCAAUCAUUCUGACUGCAUCAUAGCCAGAAAUCAGUCAUUAAUGGAAAAUUUUUAGCGUCAUGAUUCUUUAGUGAUAAAAUGAAGGCGAUAAAGUGCAAGUUGGAGGUUUUGUAAGCCUAUGAUUGGGCCAUGGGGGUGGAAUCUUAAUAGGCUAGGAAUGAUUUACUUAUCAAGAGGGAAAAAAAAACCAAGGACUGAUUUGUAUUAAUUUGGGGUUUUUGAUUUGUAUUGAAACAAAACUAAUAAGCUUGAUUUAUUGGUGCUACAAAUAAUGCUUUACAAA